CUUUCCCCCUCUAAUGCAGGUGCAAGGUAUGGUGAACGUUUUUGGGCGGACAUCAUUUCUCAUUGACCAGAACACACGUGCCUUCCACAUGUUCAUCAACUUUUUGAUGGCUCUGGUUUAUCGUAUGGAGAGCUAGCAAGAUUUGCAUAGGUCUAUAGUUCACUGAGCUGUUGUUUUGAGUGAAAAGCUUCAAGGAUUUCGUUUCUUUCGAUUAACUGUACUUGAAGGGUUGGAGUGUGUUUGUUUGCAAUGUAACUAUAAACGUUAAAAUUGAAGUUCACAUAAAAAUCUGUGCAAAUGUGAGUAUGCCAACUUUUUCAAGCUGUAGACAAACUAAAUGAAUUGCUAUUAUUA